UUAACUAAAAUAUUUCUUUCUUUUUUUAAUACUAACCCCCCCAAAACAAACAAAUCUCCAGCAGCAAACAAAGAAAGAAAGAAGAGAUCCAAGCUUCAAGCCGCCGAACCCCUCUUUUUCCUUCCACCGUGCACGCCACCAACAGCCAUCGUAUGCGCCGCGUGAAAUCAAGCUACGGGUAGUUGAGAUUUGGGUUUUGGGGUGGCUUAUAAUCGAUUGGCUCGAGUAUUUAGAGUGGGUUUCGGUUUGAGAGCUUGGUUGUGGUGUUAAUGGUGGUAUAGAGGUGCCAGGCAUGCGGGGAUGGUGUUGGCAGAAGCAUGGGGCGUGGUAGCCGAUAUGGUGGUGACCAAAGAUGGUGCUAGUGUCAGAGGAAAGUGGGGUGUGGUAGCCAAGGUUUCUUGUUGUCUGUUUCUCUUCUUUUUUUUUUUAUGUUGGGCUAGUUGAGUAUUGGGCUAGUGGUAUUUGGGCUAUGGGAUUUGAUUUGUUGGUUUGGGUUUAAUGGGUCUUGUGUAUUGGGUAGGUGGGUCAAAAUUGUAAAUGGGGCAAAAUUUGGGCUAGAACAGAAAGUAUGUUACAUGUGAGUGAUUAGUUCAUGAAGGGAUUUUCGGUUAUGUUGUUUUGUAUGAGUAAUGGAUUGUUGAGUUCAUGCUAUUAUGAAUAAAAUUGAUUAAGAGAGGCUUGAGAUAAUUAAAUAUGCAUGUUGGUGGUAAGAUGAGCAUUCGGUUUUUAUCAUGGAAGCAUAGGGAGCUUGUUAAAAGUUGAAUUUUAGAAAAGUUAAAUGUGUGUGUGCUUGUGCUAGUGCCGAAUGUGCCUAGGGUGAUUUAGCAUUGAGUUUGGUGUUAUAUGAAUUGAGUUUUAUGGUUUUGGAUUUUUAAGUGUUGUUAAAUACUUUGAAUAAUAUAUAUAAGUGGCUUUGAUAUGUGAAA